UACGUAGGGUGCAAGCGUUAAUCGGAAUUACUGGGCGUAAAGCGUACGCAGGCGGCUUUGCAAGACAGAUGUGAAAUCCCCGGGCUCAACCUGGGAACUGCAUUUGUGACUGCAAGGCUGGAGUACGGCAGAGGGGGAUGGAAUUCCGCGUGUAGCAGUGAAAUGCGUAGAUAUGCGGAGGAACACCGAUGGCGAAGGCAAUCCCCUGGGCCUGUACUGACGCUCAUGCACGAAAGCGUGGGGAGCAAACAGG
rnacentral:rRNA from 1 species